rnacentral:rRNA from 1 species
AUUGAACGCUGGCGGCGGGCUUAACACAUGCAAGUCGAGCGGGGAAGGUAGCUUGCUACUGGACCUAGCGGCGGACGGGUGAGUAAUGCUUAGGAAUCUGCCUAUUAGUGGGGGACAACAUCUCGAAAGGGAUGCUAAUACCGCAUACGUCCUACGGGAGAAAGCAGGGGAUCUUCGGACCUUGCGCUAAUAGAUGAGCCUAAGUCGGAUUAGCUAGUUGGUGGGGUAAAGGCCGACCAAGGCGACGAUCUGUAGCGGGUCUGAGAGGAUGACCCGCCGCACGGGGCCUGGGACACGGCCCAGACUCCUACGGGAGGAAGCAGUGGGGAAUAUUGGACAAUGGGGGGAACCCUGAUCCAGCCAUGCCGCGUGUGUGAAGAAGGCCUUAUGGUUGUAAAGCACUUUAAGCAAGGAGGAGGCUACUCUAGUUAAUACCUAGGGAUAGUGGACGUUACUCGCAGAAUAAGCACCGGCUAACUCUGUGCCAGCCGCCGCCGUAA